GGUUUGAUUCUGGCUCAGAUUGAACGCUGGCGGGAUGCUUUACACAUGCAAGUCGAACGGCAGCACGGACUUCGGUCUGGUGGCGAGUGGCGAACGGGUGAGUAAUGUAUCGGAACGUGCCUAGUAGCGGGGGAUAUACGCGAAAGCGUAGCUAAUACCGCAUACGCCCUUCGGGGAAAGCGGGGACCUUCGGGCCUCGCACUGUUAGGCUUGGCAAUCGGAUUGGCUAGUUGGUGGGGUAACGGCUCGCAAGGCGACGAUCCGUAGCUGGUUUGAGAGGACGACCAGCCACACUGGGACUGAGACACAUUAGACUCCUACGGGAAGCAGCAGUGGGGAAUUUUGGACAAUGGGAAACCCUGAUCCAGCCAUCCGCGUGUGCGAUAGAAGGCCUUCGGGUUGCUAAAGCACUUUUGGCAGGAAAAGAAACGGCACGGGAUAAUACCCCGUGCAACUGACGGUACCUGCAGAAUAAGCACCGGCUAACUACGUGCCAGCAGCCGCGGUAAUACGUAGGGUGCAAGCGUUAAUCGGAAUUACUGGGCGUAAAGCGUGCGCAGGCGGUUCGGAAAGAAAGAUGUGAAAUCCCAGAGCUUAACUUUGGAACUGCAUUUUUAACUACCGAGCUAGAGUGUGUCAGAGGAGGUGGAAUUCCGCAUUAAAGCAGUGAAAUGCGUAGAUAUGCGGAGGAGGAACACCGAUGGCGAAGGCAGCCUCCUGGGAUAACACUGACGCUCAUGCACGAGCGUGGGGAGCAAACAGGAUUAAGAUACCCUGGUAGUCCACGCCCUAAACGAUGUCAACUAGCUGUUGGGGCCUUCGGGCCUUGGUAGCGCAACUAACGCGUGAAGUUGACCGCCUGGGGAGUACGGUCGCAAGAUUAAAACUCAAAGGAAUUGACGGGGACCCGCACAAGCGGUGGAUGAUGUGGAUUAAUUCGAUGCAACGCGAAAAUUAUACCUACCCUUGACAUGUCUGGAAUCCCGAAGAGAUUUGGGAGUGCUCGCAAGAGAACGGAACACAGGUGCUGCAUGGCUGUCGUCAGCUCGUGUCGUGAGAUGUUGGGUUAAGUCCACGAGCACCAACCCUUGUCAUUAGUUGCUACGAGGCACUCUAAUGAGACUGCCGGUGACAAACCGGAGGAAGGUGGGGAUGACGUCAAGUCCUCAUGGCCCUUAUGGGUAGGGCUUCACACGUCAUACAAUGGUCGGGACAGAGGGUCGCCAACCCGCGAGGGGGAGCCAAUCCCAGAAACCCGAUCGUAGUCCGGAUCGCAGUCUGCAACUCGACUGCGUGAAGUCGAGAUCGCUAGUAAUCAUGGCGGAUCAGCAUGUCGCGAGUGAAUACGUUCCCGGGUCUUGUACACACCGCCCGUCACACCAUGGGGAGUGGGUUUGCAAGUAGUUAGCCUAACCGUAAGGAGGGCGAUUACCACGGUAGGAUUCAUGACUGGGGUGAAGUCGUAACAAGGUAG
rnacentral:rRNA from 1 species